AGAGACUUAAGUGACUUGACUGCCUCAAUUGUAAAAUUAUGAACCGCAUGAUUUCGUAUUGUUUCGUCGUCUUACACAUCAAUUCGCGUAUUUUAGAGGCCGCUUCUUAGAAGAACCGCUUCAACUGUCAGCAAGAAGAUUUUAGUUGAUGUCCUACACGGAUUUCAAGUGUUUCUAAACGAUGCCACGUUCUGAAGCGAUUCUGUCUGUGUUACCCCUUAUCGGUAUCGUUAAUCUCUGUUUCUUCGCAAUGGCUCGUUACCCAGGCUGACUAUGCAUACGCCGGGUGCCCUCAAAGACUGUUUUAGGUACUUCCAAUCUCACUCAAGACAUGUGUCAAGUACCACAUGGUAACUUAGGAACAACUUCCAUCAGGCUAUUCGAGGUGUUUUCCUGAGACAGACCAUCUCGAGUACGUGUAUCCAAGGUCCAUAUUUGAGACAUCAAAUUUUGUUAAAGGAUGCCU
rnacentral:lncRNA from 1 species